rnacentral:rRNA from 1 species
CGGAGUGUUUGGGCGUUAAACCCAUGCGCGUAAUGAAAGUGAAUAUGGUAUGAGCUUCGGCGGGGAUAUCGACCGAUCUUGAAAUUUAUGGAUGGAUUUGAGUACGAGCGCAAGGGGUCGGACCCGAAAGGUUGGUCUCCCCCGGCGGGUCCGUCGUUGCUGUGCUAACGUUUUAUUAGAUGGUGAGCUAUGCGUGAAUAGGGUGAAGCCAGAGGAAACUCUGGUGGAGGCUCGCAGCGGUUCUGACGUGCAAAUCGAUCGUCAAAUUUGCGUAUAGGGGCGAAAGGUGAGCCCGGGCCCCCCCCGCCCUGCCGUGAGUUUUUGCUAACGUGGUUGCAGACUAAUCGAACCAUUUGGAUGAACGCACCUGGUCUAGGUGGUUAAUUUUCGAGUUUCCGGGAUAUUCUCUCGGGGGCGACAUCGCUAUUCGCAUGGAUUCUCUCUUGCCCGAGGGAAACAUGUACCGAACCCCAGCGCGGUUCGAUCACAGACCAGAUGGCGGUGGCCCGCGACGGCGGGUUCUAACAUGGUCGGGCCCGUCCCCGUCUCAGGGGAGCAUGGAACAGCGCUAGUAGCUGGUUCCUGUCGAAGUUUCCCUCAGGAUAGCAGCAACGAACACAGUCUCAUGAGGUAGAGCGAACGAUUAGAGGCCUUGGGGCAGAAACUGCCUUAACCUAUUCUCGAACUUCGAAUAUGUGAGAAGUCCUUGUUACUUGGUUGAACGUGGACAUUUGGAGAAUCGUGCAGGCU